CAGUAAGGGUUUAAACCCAGGGUGCGAAGUGCUAAAUAAAUCUGUAAAGUUGGUGCCAAAGUUACAAAACAAAUAAAAAAGAGUUAUUGUUGUGACAAAAGUUGAAAGAAUCCGUGGAAUUCUACAGAAAAGAUUGUUCAACAAUUCUGUUUAGAAUACAAACGUGACACAUAUAUUGAAAAGUUUUUCCAAGUAAAUUCUCAGAAACUCAAGUUCAGAGUUUAAAACAACGGAAGUGGGAAGACAAAGAUUUCCUGCCAUUUCCUGUCGGACCAACCAUCAAUGAACAUUAACCAAAGGAUGGAAGACGACCAUUUAUAAAAUGGCGCGAAAUUUUCCGGGCUUGGCCCGGCUCAUUGUUCUACUGCUCAUGGUGGGUGAAGAGACGUUAUCAGAUAGUCUACAAGCUCCUCGAUUCAUUACUCAACCUUCUGCAUCAGGAUCUAUCGUGGCAGAGGGCAGAACCAAGAUACUUCAAUGUCAAGCUCUAGGUCAUCCUCAACCUCAAUACCGUUGGUUAAAGGACGGAGAUUAUAUCUCCGACUUCUCCUCCGAACCCUUCUACAAGAUCCAGUCCAUCUCCAGGGGGGACACCGGCAACUACCAGUGCAUUGCAAGGAACAGUGUCGGGAGCAUCAUCAGUGAGAUCAUCCCCCUCUCAGUAGCUUUUAUGACGUCGUUCAGUGAGCAGCCAGAUCCCCAGCUGACAGUCAAAUCUGGACAUGCCGCCAUUUUUGAGUUUCCCGCCAUUUCCAGUGAGCCGGAACCUUCGGUCAGUUGGCAGAGCGAUGACCUGGCCCUGCUCUACGGGACAAAGUACGCAACAACCCGGGAAAAUAAACUCAUCAUUCUCAGCGUAGAUGAUUCAGACCAAAAACAAUACAGGGCUCGAGCUACAAAUACGCAGUUAGGACAGGAGGAGAAUUCUGCGUACAUCCAGCUUAUCGUAGAUUCGGACGAUUCGACCGAUGUUUCUCCGGAGAUUAUCGUCCCACCAGAGAACAUGACGAUAAUCCGUCACACGCAGGUCACCGAGCUGCAAUGCAUCGCCAAUGCACGUCCUCUGUAUGAGCUUGAGCUGGUUUGGUUAAAGGACGGUCAACCUAUAGAAGAUUCUGGAAUAUCCUACUCUUUUAAUGAUCUCUGGAACCGAACACUGAGCCUGUUGUCGGCCGAUUUCGUGCACCGUGGUGUGUACACCUGCAAGGCUAGAAUGAGAACAGGGGGACCAACCCUUUCUGCUUCCGCCCUAGUCACUGUUAUAGAAAAACCAUACUUCGAGAACAAGAUGAACUUCGAAACAUUGGGUGAAUUCUCGAAAGCGAUUGAGAUUCCUUGCGAGAUUUCUGGAGAGCCCAAACCCAACAUUACUUGGUACAGAGACGCGGAGCCUUUGGAUCAGAUCCCUGCAGUACGUUAUUCUGUACAGGAGAACAAUUCUUUAUAUAUCAGUUACAUGAGACGCGAGGAUUCUGGAAUGUUCCAAUGUUCUGGAUUUAACGAGGGCGGAUAUGUGACCGGAUAUACUUGGCUCAGGGUUAAAACGUCUGUUCCAGUGUUUAUCGUCCCCCCGACGAAUUUGACGGCUUUGGACGGGAAGGAUGCAACAAUAACAUGUCAGGCUGAAGGAGCUCCUGCGCCCAACGUCACCUGGCACUUUAAUGGAGGUUUGGUUAGUUUCUCUGGUCGGAUUCAGAUUCUGGAGGAUGGAUCCCUUCUCAUAGCUAGUGUUAGAUCUACAGAUAGAGGAGAGUACACCUGUACGCGGAGCAAUGAAGCUGGCGAGAUCACUGGGUCAGCCUGGUUAUCUGUCCUAGUCAGGACACAGAUAGUUCAACCCCCUGCGGACACAAAGGUUAUACUGGGUCAUAUUGCUAAACUGUACUGCAGAGUUAGUUCAGACAACAACGUUGAAUACCAGGUUUCCUGGUAUCAUGAGGGUAAUCUGAUCAAUGAUAAAGCUAGCCAUCGGAUAAACCUCGACAGUGAUGGAACCCUCGAGAUUGCCGAAGCUAGAGCCUCAGAUGCUGGAUCCUAUGUAUGUGAAGUAAAUUCUCCCGGUGGAAAUGACAAGCGAAGCUCAAGAUUAGAUGUGAUUGAGCUGCCCUAUGCUCCCACCAGUAUUAAUGCUGAACGAGUGAAUACAAAACAUAAAUCUGUAAAUGUGAGCUGGACCCCAGGGUUUGAUGGAAACAGUCCCAUUAUAAAGUUUAUUGUUCAGUAUCGGUAUGUACCAGAGACUGGUGCUGUACCAGAGGAUAGCUCUUCAUGGGUCACAGCUUUAUCAAACAUUAGUUCUGCCAGUAGAUCAGUAGUACUGGAUUCCAUGCGUUCCUCAGCAGCAUAUGUGUUCAGGGUUUCCUCAGUUAACAGUGUUGGUGAGGGGCCUCCAUCCACUCCCUCGGACAGAGUAGUUCUACCCCAGGAGCCACCUUCAGCCCCGCCUUUAGGAUUUGUUGGUUCUGCUAGGUCGGAGUCUGAAAUAAUGAUCCAGUGGCAACCACCUCCAGAGGAGGCGCAGAAUGGAGAUAUUAUUGGUUACAUGGUGAGAUACAGGUUGUUUGGAUAUCAUGACUCUCCCUGGUCCUUUAGAAACAUUUCUCAGCCGACACAAAGAAACUAUCUCAUUACUGAACUCAUAACCUGGAAAGAUUACGAGGUGCAGAUAGCUGCCUAUAAUAGAAAGGGAACGGGAGCCUACACUGAUCCUAUCAAGAUGAAAACAAGAGAAGGAGUACCUAGUGCCCCGCCUACUAAUGUUAGAGCUGAAGCCACAGGUUCAAGUACAGUCAAGGUUUGGUGGCAGCCCCCAGAUCCACAGAAGAUAAAUGGGAUCAAUCAGGGGUACAAGUUACAGGCCUGGAGGGGGGAUCCAAAAACUAUAUCUAAACCUCAGCGUACUGUAACCGUUCAUCCUAAUUUACUAAGUCCACUGAGCGAACAGACAGCAGUGAUUGAGAAUCUUGACCCCUGGACGGCCUAUAAUAUUACUGUCUUAUGUUUCACUAGUCCAGGAGAUGGUGCCAGGUCAGCAGGAGAGUUGGUCAGAACCCAUCAGGACUACCCAGGACCUGUCAAAGCUCUGCGCUUUGAGGAGAUCACAGAUAGAGGUGUCAGAGUGAUGUGGGAGGAACCUGAGCAACCUAAAGGAAUUAUUCUAGGAUAUACCGUUAGAUAUAUGGUUAAAGAUAUGAUUCACACACUCAUGGAGAAGAAUUUAACUACUUUGGAAACCAGCUUUUAUCUUAAUCAGUUGAAACCUACAACCCACUAUUCAUUUGAUGUUUUUGCUUGGACUGAGAUUGGAAAAGGAGAGACAAGUUCAGCCACCAUACAAUCUGGUGUAGAACCUGUGCUCCCUGAGCCCCCAACCCGUCUUGCAGUUUCAAAUAUUGAUGCAUUCUCAGCAGUAGUCCAGUUUACUCCAGGAUUUGACGGUAAUUCUUCAAUCUCUAAGUGGAUUGUUGAAGCAUCAAGUGCUAGAAAUGCCACUUGGUCCACUAUCUUUGAAGUAUCCGAACCUGAUGCUUCUACUGUCACAGUUAAAAACCUUGUUCCAUACAUGGAAUACAGGCUGAGAUUAGUAGCUAAUAAUGUGGUUGGGCGUUCCAUCCCAUCAGAGCCAACAAAGAAGUUUCAAACCAUACAAGCUAGACCCAAGCACGCCCCUAAAAAUGUGACAAUCAGAGCUCAUGAAUUCACAAAAUUAAAUGUGCGUUGGACCCCCCUCUCCCAGCAGGAUUGGUAUGGGGUACCCCGGGGUUACAAUAUAUCCUAUAGAAUACUUGGCGACUCUUCUAUGCUACACACCCUCUCUAUUGAAGAUCCCACAGCCAACUCCUUUGUACUGGAUGGCUUGGAGGAGUUUACUCUUUAUGAAGUUCUUCUUCAAUCCUACAAUGAUGUUGGAACCUCAGAUCCUAGCACUGUUGUUGUGGAGAAAACUAAUGAAGCAACCCCAGGUUCAGGUCCUAAGGUGGUGAAUGCAACAACAACAUCAUCUACAACAAUCCUAGUCUCCUGGGGAGAUGUUGAGAAGAUAGACAGAAAUGGUAUCAUUGAGGGAUACAAGGUGUAUUACGGAGCUAAGGAUGUACCUUUUCAAUACCAGAAUAUAAAGAGCAACGUCACUAAACAAACAACUCUGACAGAACUCAAGAAAUUUACUCGGUAUUCCAUUCAAGUGUUGGCAUAUACAAGAAUAGGAGAUGGUGCACUUAGUACCCCACCGAUACAAGUCACGACCUUUGAAGAUGUGCCGGGGCCCCCGUCUAAUAUCUCAUUCCCUGAUGUUUCUUACACCACAGCUCGGAUAAUAUGGGAUGUUCCUCUGGAACCUAAUGGUGAAAUAAAGGCCUACCGUGUUAACUACCACUUACUAAACUCAACUGAGAACUUUACUCGUGAAUUCCUUCCAACUGACAGGACCUUUCGUGCAGUUGGUUUAGUUCCUAUGGUGUACUAUGAGUUCUCUGUAGCUGCAAAGACAGCUUUAGGAUGGGGAUAUGUCUCCAAGGGAGUGGUUUACACCACAAAUAACAGGGAGGCACCGCAACCCCCCUCUGCUCCACAGAUUUCUCCAAGUCAGGUUCAGGAUCGGCAAAUCACUUUUAAUUGGAACCCUGGAUCAGAUGGGUUUGCACCUCUGAGAUACUACAGUGUACAGUUCUCUGAGAACACAGGUCCUUGGCAGAAUGUGAACGAGCGGGUGGAUCCAAGUGUUACAUUUUACACUGUUUACAACCUUAAACCUUACUCUGAUUAUAGAUUUAGGAUACAAGCAAUUAAUGAUAUAGGUCCUAGUGGUUGGUCUCCUGAGUCCAAUUCAACUAAAACACUGCCAUCUGCUCCCUCUUCUAUGAUCGAAAACCUUAAAGUAACCCCUAUCACACGCACUGAUGUAAGAGUGACCUGGGACCCCCUGUCCAUAUCAGAUUUUAACGGAGAUGUGGAAACCGGAGGAUAUAUUGUUGAAUACAGGGAGGUUACUGAUUUCCCCUCCCCCCUCUCCUCCUCCCCUCAAGUAGAGCUCAAGGGAGUCUCAAUCAGCAAAGUUGUUCUGGAAAAUUUGAUUAAAGACAAAACCUAUGAAAUCACCGUGAUUCCAUUCAAUUCCCAGGGUUAUGGUAACGCGGCCCGACCAGUCUCCGUCUAUGUCGGAGAAGCUGUUCCCACGGGAUCUCCUCAAUCCUUGAAAGCUGAAGCAAUCUCUCCUUCAGAAGUUAGAAUAAGUUGGAAACCUCCAAAGACGGAUCAACAGAAUGGAGAUUUGCUUGGAUACAAGAUAUUCUAUAAUUCAAUUCAGCUGGCGGGGAGACAGGAUGAAGUUGAAGUUGUCUCCGCUACCCACACCUCACACUCUCUUAUAUUCCUGGAGAUGUAUACAAACUAUACAAUCUCCAUCCUAGCCUUUAACCCUGCUGGAGAAGGGCCAAAGACGGAAAAUGUUAAUAUUCGAACUCUCCAGGGUGUGCCUGGAGCCCCUGCUAACCUAACCUUCUCCGAGAUAACAAUGAACACGUUGAAGGUGUCCUGGAGUAAACCAAUGAAACCUAACGGAGAAAUCCUGGGCUAUGUCGUCUCAUAUGAAACCACUACACAGAACGAAAAUUUCUCUAAGCAAGUAAAGCAGAGGGUUCAAGAGAACUACCUCUACAUUCAGAACCUGGAGGAAAGGGUCACCUACACCUUUUCCGUACGGGCCCAGACCAUCGACUACGGCCCUGCUGCGACCGGAAAUGUGACGACCGGCCCCCAGCCUGGCUCCCCCAGUAGGAUCACUGAUCUACAGCUGACCAAAACAUGGUCAGCUGUUCGCCUCAGCUGGUCAAACGGAAAAUCCGGGAAAGGACCUAUUCUGGGAUACUACAUAGAAACAAGACAGAAAGGACGAUUUUCUUUUUCUUGCUGCUCCGCCCCUGUAGCUCUGGAGAAUUGGCAGAUUUACGAGGAUAAGUGGAAGUUGUACAGGCGAACAGAUGGAGGUGGUAUACAAGAGUACACUGUUCCUUUCCAGAAUCUUGUUCCAGAAACAUCAUAUUCAUUCAGGGUUAUAGCGUACAACGAGUUUGGGAUAUCCCCCCCAGCUACCACACAGGAGGAGGUGAAGACUCCGUCUAAAGUGUACCAGGAGUAUGGAUAUUCUAAAUCUAAACCGUUCCACCGAGAAACCUGGUUUGUAGUGGCGCUUGCCGCCACCAGUAUUGUCAUCAUUAUCACCGUGGUUGCUGUUCUCUGUGUUAAAUCUAAAACAUAUAAAUAUAAAGAACAAGCGAAAGAGAGUGCAAUGAACGACGGAGGGAUGGAAGAAGGAUUUUCUACUUUUGAAAUGCGACAGUCUCGACGCGGGACCAUGUCGUCCAAACGGGGGACGAUGAAGUCGACUACAACACGUCGGUCCAGUAAUCUAGCGAUGAUAAGCAGUCGUGCACCUCCCCGGCCCACCCCAGGCAUGGUUAACUACUCGGACGAGGACUCAGCGAAGGGAUAUGACGAGAACCCGGACGAUUCUGAUUCAUUAACAGAGAAACCGUCCGAAAUAUCGUCCACCAGUUCACAGGGUACCGAGAGUGAACAAGAAAGUCGUGAAUCUGACCCUCAUUCCAUAUUCAAUCACUACGCGAACGUAAACAACACGUUCCGUCAGAGUUGGAAGCGUCAGAAACCUAUCCUACCGGCUUCUCCCAGUAAACCUAGUGUACCUGGAGCCCGGGGAUACAGCAGCUUCACGGAGUCCUCUGAUCAGGACGGAAACAGUGCUGUUGUUAGUCUAAACGGUACUCAGCUGGUUAUGAACAAUAAAGCAAGAUCUAGGGCGCCACUACCCGGCUUUUCGUCGUUUGUUUAAAUAUAGGAUAUUUCGUCGACAAAUUUGGUGGCCGGGUACCCUUGAUUCCUAGAGCUUUAGUUAAAUCUUGUCAUAAUCCUGCCGGCUGUGAUAUUGUACAGUGUACAGUGUACAGGAUAAAUUUUAUUCUAUCUUCCAUCAUAAAUUCUGACUAUACAUUGAGAUUUGUAUGUUUUCAUAAAUCAGUUGCAAUUUGCAAACUUAAUCAGUUAUUAAAUAAUAUCAGUUAAUGCUACAAGUUGGUACAGCUGACAUUUUACAGUUGUACAACGGGGUCCAUGAAAUGGGAAGAUGGCUGUUAGAUCGGCCAAUAAUCAUGAAACAACGCAGUUGUGCAGUGUACACAGACGCAAUUCACUUAAAAAAUUUAUUUUCAAAAUAUUGUUAAAACUAUAUGGUUUAAACAACGUCAGAGACACAUCAGAUUGUCUAAAUGUCGUCUUAUUCCACAUGUUUAUGGAUCCAACUGUGUAAUCGUACAAGGCCUGUACUGAUAUGUUUUGGUUGAUAAAUGUUUAGAGAUAGAAAAGUACAAAUGUGUUUUGUUAGUAUUAUUAUUAUAAUUGUUGCUCAUUAUUAUAGUUAAAUAAAGAUUAUUAUUAUAAAA
rnacentral:misc_RNA from 1 species